rnacentral:rRNA from 1 species
GAUGAACGCUGGCGGCGUGCCUAAUACAUGCAAGUCGAGCGAACGGACGAGAAGCUUGCUUCUCUGAUGUUAGCGGCGGACGGGUGAGUAACACGUGGAUAACCUACCUAUAAGACUGGGAUAACUUCGGGAAACCGGAGCUAAUACCGGAUGAUAUUUUGAACCGCAUGGUUCAAAAGUGAAAGACGGUCUUGCUGUCACUUAUAGAUGGAUCCGCGCUGCAUUAGCUAGUUGGUAAGGUAACGGCUUACCAAGGCAACGAUGCAUAGCCGACCUGAGAGGGUGUUCGGCCACACUGGAACUGAGACACCGUCCAGACUCCUACGGGAGGCAGCCGUAGGGAAUCUUCCGCAAUGGGCGAAAACCUGACGGAGCAACGCCGCGUGAGUGAUGAAGGUCUUCGGAUCGUAAAGCUCUGUUAUUAGGGAAGAACAUAUGUGUAAGUAACUGUGCACAUCUUGACGGUACCUAAUCAGAAAGCCACGGCUAACUACGUG